AAAGACAUUGUCUAUUGAUAAAAGAAUAGGUAAUUUCUGCCCACUGCGGUAAGUAAAGGGCUGCAGUAUUUUGACUGUAUAAAGGUAGCAUAAUCAUUAGUUUUUUAAUUUGAGACUGGUAUGAAGAGAUUACAUGGAGGUGAUGUAUUGUAAUAAGAUCAUUGAAUUUGAUUGUUUUGUGAAAAAUCAAAAAUUAGCUUAAGGGACAAGAAGACCCUAAAAAGUUUUAUUUGUAGAGUAAUGCGUAUAGAGGGUUAUUAGUACAACUUAUAAAUAUUAGUUUAAUUGGGGCGAUGGGUAAAUUAACAUUAUCUUAUAUUUAAUUUUGUUAAAACAUUGAGCAGACCUAAUUGGGUUAGUUGGAAGGAAAAUUACUUUAGGGAUAACAGCGUUAUCGUUUUAGAGAGUUCAAAUCGACAGAACGGAUUGCGACCUCGAUGUUGGAUUAAGAUAAACGGUGGUGAAGUAGUCGUCAUUUUGUCGUNGAC
rnacentral:rRNA from 1 species